rnacentral:rRNA from 1 species
GUCUUUUUGAAAAAAUUUAAAGUCCAAUCUGCUCACUGAGUAUUUAAAGAGCCGCAGUAUACUGACUGUGCAAAGGUAGCAUAAUCAAUAGUUUUUUAAUUGAAAACUUGUAUGAAAGAUUAGACGAAAAACAUAUUUUCUUUAUUUUAAUAAGUUAAAAUUUAAUUUUAAGUGAAAAUGCUUAAUUAACCUUAAAAGACGAGAAGACCCUAUAGAUUUUUAUUGUUGAAAUAGAUUUUAUAUUGUAAUCUAAUAAAAUAAUUUAAUUGGGGCGAUUUUGUAAUAUAAAAAACUUGAUUUUUUAAUACCAUAAAUAAUUGAAUAUUUUGAUCUAAAAAUUUUAAAGAAAAGAUUAAAUUACCUUAGGGAUAACAGCGUAAUUUUAUUUAAGAGUUCAUAUCUAUAAUAAAGUUUGCGACCUCGAUGUUGAAUUAAGAUAAUAUAUUGGAGUAGAAAUUAAUAUAAUUAGUCUGUUCGACUAUUAAAUUCU